GUUUAGACUCUCCUUUCACUCUCUCAGUAACCAGCACCUCUCAUCUCUGCAUUGAUAGUUGGAUCUAUUCAGUGCUAAGACCAUGGACCUGGCUGACCGCAUGACCUAGAUCCAUUGAGCCGUGAUUAGAGACUUUGAAUGGAAGCAGACAACUGACCUUUCAGUACCCCUGCAGGUUCGUUCACCUCUUCAACCCACUCAUCGUUUGUCUUUGUGGCUCGGACCCUCUCCUGCCAUUUUAUUGGUUAGCUGGUGACACACCACCUCUGGGAACACAGCCAUAACAGAUCAAACACAUGCCUAAGCACACAAAAAGCGGCUGACCCAUCCUGACACAAGACAAAGGAGGCGGUGUGUGACCCUCGCCGCCUGUUUACAUUUGCUUCCUGUCCAUGACCGACUGUCGGAGCAGGGCUCCGUCUCACAACAUUGAUCGCUUGUCACAUAGGUGACACGGGGAUAUAAACACGUUGAAAAUUCCAAACAUAACUCACAGCUUUAAGUAUAUUGUUGCACAUACAUCGAGUUUCUAUCCAGUCGUCCACUUUUAAUGGUGGGUCAAACCCACGGUCUAAAAUCUAGGCCAUAUAACACGUUUAAUAUCUACCUGUGUUAUUGGUACAAGACCAGUGGAGCAAUUCAGUUCAUUUCAGUUCCAUCAGGACAAACGGAUGAGAAUGAGUUUAAUUGGAAUCAAAUUUGGACCCUGGCAGGAAGUAGAACAUCACGGAAGCAGUCCAAUGAAUUAAAUGCUUCAGAGCCAAGACACUGGUGGUGGUGGUGAGGAAUGGAGCUGAAGUUGGGACGUCUCAUGAAGGGCUUCUGGUCGGGCGGUUUGAUGGGACAUGACCGGGCGUCCAGAGUUGAGGUGGUGCAGGUGGAGAGUUACCGUGGCGAUGGGGGGUCGGUAGUUGCUCAUUGGUGUGGCGCCAGAUAGGAAGCAGCUGACCGCUGUGCAGGGAGUGGACAACAAAGGACACACAGAACCUCAGGCAAGAAAAGAAAAGUGUGUGGGUGUGUGUGUGGGUGUGAGUCAUAGUGUGUAAAUAUGUAGAUCAUUGUUUUCUUUUCUGUGGUGCCAUUUUUGGAAGGAGUGAGGGCAAUACCCAGCUGUACGAUAUUACUGACUUUAUGACACUUUAUUAUACAUUUACUAACGACAACAACUGAAGAAAUAUAUUGAUUAGAACGCGCUGUAACAGUAUAGUGUAGUUGUGAACAUAUGAGAAUAUUUCAAGUGUUUAUUAAUAUAUUUUUCGAAGGAUAACUUCUCUGAUGAUGCAUCAAUAACUGGUGUAUAAACACCUAAGAAAUGCUCGAUAACACAAUAUAACACUGAAUUAACUUGUGGAGUUUUGUCCAUCAUGUGUGUCAAAUGUAAAAAUAACUUAAAACUGCAUUAUAGUCUUAUAAACAUAUACUAGCGCUAAAAAUGCUAAAUACAGUUAAAUUAUAGUGAUGUCCUUCAUUUGUGUGCAAAUGUAUGCCAAGGCAAAAUUAAACACAAGUUUAACUUCAGUUAAUGAUGAUCCCAAUUUUCACGACUAUGUACGGUUUCUGAGACUUAUUACCUUAUAGGGUAAGACUGGAAAUUUUAGACGCGAUACACACAUCAGGCCGAGGGAAAUGAUUGGCAUGCCGCGAGCCGCCCGAGAGACAGAAAACAGAAACAAAGCACGUCUGUAAAUAGUGCGGCCGUACGUCUGUGUGCUCCCUGUGGCUCCUGCCGACUUCCUUAUCUGAGAGGCAUCGCUCGGGUUGCUCCUCUGAAGUCAACGCUGCCCAUUGUCCCUGGAAAGAGCGCAAUUUCACCGCCGGUACAAUGGGACUGACAGGGCAGGGACACGGGGCAGAGCUGAGGUUUCAUAUGGACCAUAUAUGGUAGUUGAGCAGACAAUGGGGGAAGUAUUGAACUGCUCAGGGUUGAUUUUAGCCAUGUCCAUAUUUAGUAAGUUACGAUACGCAUGUGUCUCUGUGCGUAUCUGUGAAUGCUUACCAGGAGAAAUACACAUCACUAUGCAUUUAUGUUUUUUAAGCCAAGAAUGAUUAUUAUGUAAAGUGGAAAAUUGGAG